CCCGGGGGCUCUGCACCACAAGGAGUCUGCAUGUCUUGCAACUAGACAUGCUCAGCUUUGUGGAUACGCGGAUUGUGUUGCUGCUUGCAGUAACUUCAUACCUAGCAACAGGCCAACGUAAGUGCUUUCAGCUUGCUCGUGGCAUGGGGGGGCCCUAGAGGAGACAAAGGGCCACAGGGAGAAAGGGGUCCACCAGGUCCACCAGGCAGAGAUGGUGAAGAUGGUCUACCAGGUCCUCCAGGCCCCCCUGGUCCUCCAGGUCUUGGCGGAAACUUCGCUGCUCAAUAUGAUCCAUCUAAAGCAGCUGAUUUUGGCCCUGGACCUAUGG
rnacentral:lncRNA from 1 species